CCUACGGGUGGCAGCAGUGAGGAAUAUUGGUCAAUGGGCGCGAGCCUGAACCAGCCAAGCCGCGUGAAGGAUGACGGCCCUAUGGGUUGUAAACUUCUUUUAUAAAGGAAUAAAGUGAGGCACGUGUGCCUUUUUGUAUGUACUUUAUGAAUAAGGAUCGGCUAACUCCGUGCCAGCAGCCGCGGUAAUACGGAGGAUCCGAGCGUUAUCCGGAUUUAUUGGGUUUAAAGGGAGCGUAGAUGGGCUGUUAAGUCAGAUGUGAAAGUGUGCGGCUCAACCUUGGAAUUGCAAUUGAUACUGGCAGUCUAGAGUGCAGUUGAGGUAGGCGGAAUUCGUGGUGUAGCGGUGAAAUGCUUAGAGAUCACACAGAACUCCGAUUGCGAAGGCAGCUUACUAAGCUGCCACUGACGUUGAUGCUCGAAAGUGUGGGUAUCAAACAGGAUUAGAUACCCGUGUAGUC
rnacentral:rRNA from 1 species